GGAUGCGAUCAUACCAACACUAAUGCACCAGAUCCCAUCAAAACUCCGCAGUUAAGCGUGCUUGGGCGAGAGUAGUACUAGGAUGGGUGACCUCCAGGAAAGUCCAUUUCGUGUAUUUU